CUCUGUGUAGCUCAUGCAGUUGGUUAGAGCGUUGCACAUGAAUCGCAGAGACGCAGGUUGGAUUCCUGACAGAGGGU